UACGGAGGGGGCUAGCGUUGUUCGGAAUUACUGGGCGUAAAGCGCACGUAGGCGGCUUGGUAAGUUAGAGGUGAAAGCCUGGAGCUCAACUCUAGAAUUGCCUUUAAGACUGCCGAGCUAGCAGGUGAGAGAGGUGAGUGGAAUUCCGAGUGUAGAGGUGAAAUUCGUAGAUAUUCGGAAGAACACCAGUGGCGAAGGCGGCUCACUGGCUCAUACUGGACGCUGAGGUGCGAAAGCGUGGGGAGCAAACGGG
rnacentral:rRNA from 1 species